CAGUGAAGGUCCAAGGUUCAUGUCCUGUUGACAGACUGUAAGAUUGAUACUGGUCAUCUCUCCUAGAAAAAUACAGUGGGGAUCACCUUCUUGAGGCUCCAGGUGCCUGGAACAAGAGGAAGCAGGUGUACAGGAUUUCCAUAUGCCCUGGUCACUUCUACUGCCAUCUCUUCUCUUGAACCUGUGGAGUUGUUGGCUGUGUUAGCCAAACCAUCCCUCUCAGCCCAUCAGACCUCUCAGCUAACACAGCAGAGGGAUCCAAGGAGAGAUUACAAAAUGGCAGGUUCCUGAAUCAGCCUUGGUGUUGAGCAGCAUUCAGCCACAGCCUUGGAUCUCCAGGAUGAAAGUAAAGCAGAGUUCACAUUACUGAUGAAUAACUCAAAAACGGGGUGAAAUUGUCUCACCAAAGCAAAACUGUUAAGGUCAAACUAUUAGAUAACAGCUGA